UCACUUUUUGCAAAUUAAUAGGAGUAGCAUAGAAACGAACAAAACGCAAAUUAAUAGCAAUAGCAUAUAAUAAGUGUUUAUAAGCAUCAACUAUAGAAAUGCUCCACCUAUAUCUAAUUUGGUGUUUAUCAAUUUGAAUCACUUAGGUCCUUUAGAAAAUAAAUUAAACGAAUUUUAAAUAUUGAGUUAAAAAAAUAAUCUCAAAUUUUAAAUAUCCAACUGCAGCAUCAUCCAGGCAACAUAAUAGUAUUCAUUACAAUCCCUAAUCACUAUAGUCUACAACAAAAGACAAAUUUAGAAAUAGAAUUGGGUGGGUUUGGGAGGCCUGCACAAGCGAGUUCUGCAAAAGUAAGCAGCGUCACAGCUUGGCUAGCCUAUACCCCCUCCAAAAAUAAUUGCGCACCAAUUUAUAUUGAUAGACGCUGCGGUCGGUUCUCACCGCCCGCUUUGUUUUCCUUACUCAUUAGUUUAAGGCAGUUUGCUUUAUCAGUCAAAACUCCUACUUAUACAACCCUAAAUCAACAUCCUCUUACGUUUUGACUGAUAUGGGACAAAUAAAACACAAAACUCCCUUCAUUUCUUUCCAUCCAAAACAAAAACAAAUGACUGAAUGAAAGAACUAAAAGCAAAGAAAUGGAGACACAACAACAAUACCAGUCAUGGAAAUUGGGAUUUUCAUUUAAAAAUGCAAACAAGUGUAUUUGUUUGUUGAAUUUGGUUACUACUCUUUUCUUGCUUCAGGGCUUUUUUACUCCCUCCUCUUCUUCUCGUAGAUUUCUUCAAGAUCAUCCUAAUUCAGGUAAACCAAUUAAACUAUCUUACUAAGCAAUUUUCCACAUCAAAGAUCCAAUCUUCAGUUUUAGAUCAAUUAGCAAAUAUGUACACAUCCACAAACUUUGCUCGAAUCCGUAUCAGUUGAAGUCCAAUAGGUUCUGGAUUAGCGGAUGAGGUGCCCUCAAAAUAGAAGUGCAAAGUGAUUUUGUAAAAGCUUUUGUAGUUUCUGGGUUAUGAUGGUUGAUUUCCCAAAAUCUAGAAAAUCUGAUUUAUAAGAGUUUUCUUUUGCUGUAGUCAAGUGAGCAGCAUUUUGUAUUUUGGUCAAUUUUAUGUCUUAAUUUACUUUGGAAUGAUAAAAGAGAAUGCAGAUCAUCUGUUGAUUGAUUUUAUUUGGGGUUGACUUAACAGGUUUUCAUGAUAAAUUUGUUGGAAAACGUUACUUUUUAACUUUCGUUGUUGCACAUGAAUCAAUUUGUUGGGUUUUCAUGAAUGACUUUUUCUUGAAUUGGGUUUCAGCUGCACAUUGCGUGCUUCCUGUGAUAAAGGCCUCGUCAACAUACUUGUCUUUGAAAGAGUUCUCCAAUUAGUCUUUUGAUGCAUUUUGUUUAAAUUUGGUCUGAGGGUUGGGAUUAAAUGGCAGUUAUAUUGUUAUUAAAUAGGAAUUGGGGCUACCAGCAGUCAUAUUUCAUAUAUUGAUGUUGAUGUUCUUGGAAAUCUGAUGCAAGUAUGGGAUUUGAUUCACUUGUGUCUUGUCAUUGUGCAUUAUUGCAUUUAUGAUAAGAUUUCUUUGAAAUGAGAUUUAUUUUAUUUGAGACGGCAGUAUGACAAUCUCCUUCGUGGAACUAGAAUGAUAUACAGAGCCAGAGACAGUUCAACAUACAGAGACGAAGCAGACUGCUGCAGUCGAUCUGUCUAAGAGGUUAACCAAUGCCCGCACUUUUACUGAUGCAGCUAGCAUAAAAGCUUCGGAAGAAUGGCGGAAGCGAAAGAUGGAGCGUGCCAGACAACGGGAAAUGGGAAGAAACGCAACAGCUGCCUCUUAAGCAAUAUGAAUAUUACUUUCCUUCAAACUGGUCUUGUAAUCUUCUUAAUAGCUGACUGACAUAUAGAAUUUGGAUGUCUAGCUGUCAAUUUUUUCCCUUGUGCUCAAGCUUUUCAUGUAAAUCUAGGUCCUGUAAUGAUUAGUAUUCUUUGAGAACACGGCUAAGUUGGGGAAAUAAGUGUAAAGAAAAUCAUGUUUUCGAGUGACUUUUGAGUACAAUAAUGUAAGUUGUAAUGAAUAUUUUUGUCUAA